GGAUGGAUUAUACCUCUGCUAAAACCCAAGCAAAAAUCACUGUUCUUUAACAGUCCAUGUGUUCUAAUUUUUUUUGCCAUUUUACCCUUUUUCUUACAGUGUAGCACAGUAGAAAUGCCCUUCGGUUCCUUUGUAUUCUGAAUUGUUUUUUACCGUUUUCCCCUUUUAUUCCAAGCGUCUGUCAUCCAUUUUCCUUUUGCUUCCGUGCUGUCUUCGUUUUCGUUGCUUUUUCUGCCUGUUUUAGUCUCUCUCAAACCUGUGUUCUCUGCGUUUUCGAUCUUCACAUCGUUCUCAUCUUUUUCAUCAAAAUUAUCUGUCUAAAUUUCUUGCGUUUAAAACCCCUGGAAAAGUUAAUUGUUGCUGCAAAUUUGUCGUCUUUUAAGACCCAUUGGAUUGGUUUUUUGAUUUUCUUAGGGUGGAUUUCUUACCUCCAAGGUUUGUUGGACAAUUUGUGGUUCCUUUUUUGGGGCUUCUGCGUGCAGAUUUCAAGUCGCUUAUACUCAAGAGGAUGCGUGCUGCUGCUUGUGCUGGGCAUUUUGCAUCCAGAGUCCCAACCCUAACCCUAACCCAGCAACAAGGUAUCAAUUUUAACUUUCCUAUGAACCCUAAUCAUUUCUGUGAAACUUUUAUAUUCUAAAUAUUUUAUAUUUUUUUAUGUGUAUUCUCUCCUCCAGUUCAAUGUAUCGUUAGUUUUACCUUUUGAGCUAUUUUCUUUUUCCAUUGAAGCACAUGUGCACCCAACCUUGGUAUUCAACGGAAGACUUCAUGUCAAAACAAUGUCCAUCUUUAAACUCUUUUAACAUAAAAGAUAUUAUUAUGCAAUGGAAGUCCGACUCUGUGUACUUUAUAUGUGAUAAUUUUCUUAGCAUAUAAUUUUUUGUUUAGAGUAGUGAAUAAGAAUCUUUAUUUUUUUAGUGAGAGGGUGGAGUGUUCUCCCAAAGACUAUUUAGGUCGUUUUUCAAACAAAUUCGAAUUGCAGAAUUCAACUGUAAUUAUACCAAAGAUUCACUAUAUUAUGAAGGGGGUUUUGUAGAUCUUUUUGAAAUACAGUUUUUGAUAAAUAAGAUUUUAGAUAUAUCCAUCUCGAAAAUUUAUAUUGGACUGGUAGGAACAUAGUUGGUGUUAUGUUUGGGAAUGACCGAGUGCCAUUGAUUUGGAUGCUCUACAAGCCACGUUAACUGAAAUGUUCGAUAGAACUAACUCAACUUGUCUUAUGGAACUCCUAAAACAAAUUAAAAUAAAAUGAGUGAGUAUGCAUAUAAUUCUUGUGUGAUUUAUGUAUUUUUUUGUUUGUUGUUUUUGUAGGCUUUGACUACAAGUAAAAUUAAUAUAUUUAAUUUUUUUUAUUUUUUUAAGCCGUCGGAAUGCUUGUUGUAUAACCAUUACUCUCAAAUGAGAUCUGAAUGAAGGAUAAGCUACCGGACUUCUGUUGUUCGCAACAUAUUGGAAGACUCGGUAAGGUUGGGAAAUAAAACCAACUUGCAUUCAAAUAAUGAGAAUUGUGCUCUCCAAUAUUCCUUGCCAUUAUGAGAAUUGUAAUCUCAUAAUGGCAACGAAUAUUGGAGAGCACAAUUCUCAUUAUUUGAAUGCAAGUUGGUUUUAUUUCCCAACCUUACCGAGUCUUCCAAUAUGUUGCGAACAACAUAAGCCCGAUAGCUUAUCCUUCUUUCAGAUCUCAUUUGAGAGUAAUGGUUAUCUAGCAGGUAUUCCAACGGCCUACAAAAAGAGAAACUAAAUAUAUUAAUUUUGCUUGCAGUCAAAACCCACAAAAAAACAUAAAUCACACAAGAAUUAUAUGCAUACUCACAAUUUCAUUUUAAUUUGUUUCUGGAGUAUCCCAAGACAAGUUGGGAGAGUUCCAUCGAACAUUUUAGUUAACGUGGCUUGUAAAGCAUCCAAAUCAAUGACACUCGGGUCCUUCCUAAACAUAAUACCGACGACCUUCCUACCAAUCUAAUAUAAAUUUUUAAGGUGGAUAUGUCUAAAUUUUUUUUUAUCAGAACUGUAUUUCAAAAUGAUAUUUAGAAUCCCUUUACAAUAUGAAUCUCUGGUAUAAUUGCAGUUGGAUUUUGCAAUUCGAAUUUGUUUGGAAAACGACCUAAAUAGUCUUUGAGAGAACGUUCAACCUCUCAAUUAAAAAUAAAGACUUAUGCUCACUAUACUUUGAACAAAAAAUUGUAUGCUAAGAAAAUUAUCACAUAUAUGCUCACUAUACUUUGAACAAAAAAUUGUAUGCUAAGAAAAUUAUCACAUAGUGGACAGAUGGACAUUGUCUUGCCAUGAAGUCUGCCAUUGAAGAUAGUGUGACUAAAGGUUGUGUGCACAUGUGCUUCAAUAGAAUUAAAAAAUAGCUCGGUGGAGGUAAAACUGGUGAUACAUCGAAUUGCAGGGAGAGAGAAUACACAUAAAAUAUUUAGAAUGUAAAAGUAUGAUUAGGGUUCAUAGGAAAGUUAAAAUUAACUGAAAUGUUCGAUGGAACUUCCCAGUUUGUCUUGAUGAACUCCUGACACAUUGCCGUUGAAAUACCUGCUGGAUAAUCCUCACUAGGAUCUGAAUAAAGGAUAAGCUACUGGAUAUGUUGUUUGCAACAUAUUGGAAGGUUCGGUAAAAUUGGCAAAUAAAGCCAACUUGGAGGACUAUUGGAAUAAUGAUCCAAUUUGUCAGUGUUCUGUCAAAUUUCUUAUAUAAGAUGCUUAUCAUAAUGAGAAUUGAAAUUUAUAGUAUUUUCACAAAAUUUAAUAUGCUGCUAUUAAAUAGAGUUUAGAAAUUAAAAUCAAAUUUUAACCUUAUAUAAAAUAUUUUUCUAAACUUCUGUCUUAUUUUAGUAUUAAUAUAUAGUUUUCUAUUAAAUUUAUUGUACAACAUAAAUAUUGUCUACUUAUACUUAAAAAAUACAUAAUUGUAUUGGAAUAUAUAGAUUGUAAAAUAAAAUAAGUAAUCAUCUAAGUAUUUAACAAGUUUGACAAUUUAUUGAAAAAAAUAAAAUACAAAAUAAAGUUUAUCUAUUUUAUGCUUAAGUGGACGUCUAAUUAAGUCUUGUCGUUUCUUAAUUUUUAAAAAUAAAAAUUAAUCAGAACAUGUCCAGACAAGAAUUUUUAGAGCAAUCAUGAUACAAAGAGAAUAAUAUAAAAAUUACGUGACACCUAACUCAAGCAAAAGCUUAUAUGGUCCCUAAAUGUCUUUCCCCCUAACAGUGACAGGCUACCGACACUCUGACUCGCAAUGAACAGUACUCGUGCCUGUAAUAGUACAUGCCCUAAAGAUGGGUCGGUGGAGCUGUUAAAGAUGAUUAAAGAAAAUUAAUCACAUGUUUAUUAAUCAAUAAAAUAAAGAAACCUAAUUCCAUGACUUUAUGACCAAAUAUCUCGAGAUCAUGGAGCAUUGAUUAUCAGCCUCUCAGAGAGCUCGGUGAACUUUACUGAGCUUCUCUCCUUUUAAAAUGAGAGCAUUAAAGUUCGAGUCUGGUGGUUAAUUAGAGCAGUGAAUACAAGGCUGAAGCUGGUCAAAAGCAUCACAUGUAAAGUGGGAGAGAUUUUUCAAAUCAGUAUAUAAAAUAAUAUAUUACGUGUUAUUAUAUAAAGAUGAGAUAUAAAUUAAUAACUUAAUGAAAUUUUCUACUACUUUUAUAAAAACAUAUCAUGUAUUAUCAUAUUCCAAGAACAAUGAAAAUUUUUUCGUAAAUGUUUAAUUAGAGCAGUGAAUGCUGCAGUGAAUACAAGGGAGGAAAAUGGUCAAGAACAAGUAUGCAUAUUUUAAUACCAUUUGUCCAUCUCCCCUUUCAUUUAAUGGAAAGAAAGUACGGAAAGGGAAAGCAAAGAGAGAGAGAGAGAGAGAGAGAGAGAGAAUAUGUGGUGGAGAGAUGGAGUGUUUUUAGACUGUGAUUGUGACAUAGCUGAGUGACAGCUGAAGGGAAGAGUGACUACACGGGGAAGAGGAGUAGUCACAUGGGUGGUCUCACGGACUAAAUCAUGAUAAAUUUUUAACUGUAACGGGAAUACAAAUG